CCUCUCGGGGGUAAGCGGGCAGAACUUGCAAGUAUUGUCAAGAGAUUCAGACUUGGUAUCGGAGGGGGAGUGUGCGGGUUAAAUUGGCCAUUCGUGGUUGGUUGACCUGUGCGUUUCAUUCUUCUGGUAAUGCGUCGCACUUCUCUUGUACAUCCGGGUUGCAUGCAACUGAGUUGAUGGUUUAGGGGCYGGGGUACUGCGAAUCCUCGUGGUUCGAGUCCUGGUUUCCGACUAUUCUUGCGGUUGUUGAAAGCGAACAAGAGCUUGUCUCGGUCAACUUCUUCCACGAGUCGUGUGCAUGGAUUAUAUGGACGGGUAACCGUAAUAUGACCUGUGUACUGGUUGUCAGUGAGAGUUGUUUGGCAUUGUUCAGUAUUGCAAUCUAAAGCAUGCGUGGUCUGCCUGU
rnacentral:rRNA from 1 species